rnacentral:rRNA from 1 species
GAGUUUGAUCCUGGCUCAGAACGAACGCUGGCGGCAAGCUUAACACAUGCAAGUCGAACGCGUGUAGCAAUACACGAGUGGCGCACGGGUGAGUAACGCGUGGAUAUCUGCCUUUUGGUUCGGAAUAACCCCGGGAAACUGGGGCUAAUACCGGAUGGUUCCUUCGGGAUAAAGAUUUAUCGCCAAAAGAUGAGUCCGCGUACGAUUAGCUAGUUGGUGAGGUAAUGGCUCACCAAGGCGACGAUCGUUAGCUGGUCUGAGAGGACGAUCAGCCACACUGGGACUGAGAUACGGCCCAGACUCCUACGGGAGGCAGCAGUGGGGAAUAUUGGACAAUGGGGGCAACCCUGAUCCAGCCAUGCCGCGUGAGUGAUGAAGGCCUUCGGGUUGUAAAGCUCUUUUGGCGGGGACGAUGAUGACGGUACCCGCAGAAUAAGCCCCGGCUAACUUUGUGCCAGCAGCCGCGGUAAGACGAAGGGGGCUAGCGUUGUUCGGAAUUACUGGGGCGUUAAGCGAGUGUANGUGGUCAUNCAAGUUGGAUGUGAAAAGCCUUGGGCUUUAACCAAGAAAUGCAUUCAGGACUGGAUGACUUAGAGGANCCGAAAAGAUAGUGGGAAUUCCCCGUGUAGUGGUGNAAUACGUUA